rnacentral:rRNA from 1 species
AGAGUUUGAUCAUGGCUCAGAGCGAACGCUGGCGGCAGGCCUAACACAUGCAAGUCGAACGCACCGCAAGGUGAGUGGCAGACGGGUGAGUAACGCGUGGGAACGUACCCUUCGGUCCGGAAUAACCCGGGGAAACUCGGGCUAAUACCGGAUACGUCCGUAAGGAGAAAGAUUUAUCGCCGAAGGAUCGGCCCGCGUUGGAUUAGCUAGUUGGUGAGGUAAUGGCUCACCAAGGCGAUGAUCCAUAGCUGGUCUGAGAGGACGAUCAGCCACACUGGGACUGAGACACGGCCCAGACUCCUACGGGAGGCAGCAGUGGGGAAUAUUGGACAAUGGGCGCAAGCCUGAUCCAGCCAUGCCGCGUGAGUGAUGAAGGCCCUAGGGUUGUAAAGCUCUUUUACCAGGGAAGAUAAUGACGGUACCUGGAGAAUAAGCCCCGGCUAACUUCGUGCCAGCAGCCGCGGUAAUACGAAGGGGGCUAGCGUUGCUCGGAAUCACUGGGCGUAAAGCGCACGUAGGUGGAUUGCCAAGUCGGGGGUGAAAUCCUGGAGCUCAACUCCAGAACUGCCUUCGAUACUGGCGAUCUUGGAGUCCGGGAGAGGUGGGUGGAACUGCGAGUGUAGAGGUGAAAUUCGUAGAUAUUCGCAAGAACACCAGUGGCGAAGGCGGCUCACUGGCCCGGUACUGACACUGAGGUGCG